rnacentral:rRNA from 1 species
GAUCCUGGCUCAGAUUGAACGCUGGCGGCAGGCCUAACACAUGCAAGUCGAACGGUAACAGGAAGCAGCUUGCUGCUUUGCUGACGAGUGGCGGACGGGUGAGUAAUGUCUGGGAAACUGCCUGAUGGAGGGGGAUAACUACUGGAAACGGUAGCUAAUACCGCAUAACGUCGCAAGACCAAAGAGGGGGACCUUCGGGUCCGUCUUGCCAUCGGAUGUGCCCGAGAUGGGAUUAGCUUG